rnacentral:rRNA from 1 species
AGCGAACGCUGGCGGCAGGCUUAACACAUGCAAGUCGAACGAGAAAGAGGGGGCAACUCCUCGAGUAAAGUGGCGACCGGGUGAGUAACACGUGACUAACCUACCCUUGAGUGGGGAAUAACCUUCCGAAAGGAGGGCUAAUACCGCAUAACAUCGCGAGGCGAGAUUCCUUGUGAUCAAAGGAGCAAUUCGCUUAAGGAGGGGGUCGCGGCGGAUUAGCUAGUUGGUGAGGUAACGGCUCACCAAGGCGAUGAUCAGUAUCCGGCCGGAGAGGGCGCACUGACACACUGGAACUGAAACACGGUCCGGACUCCUACGGGAGGCAGCAGUGGGGAAUUUGGCGCAAUGGGGGAAACCCUGACGCAGCAACGCCGCGUGGAGGAUGAAGGUCUUUGGAUUGUAAACUCCUUUCGAUCGGGACGAUUAUGACGGUACCGGAAGAAGAAGCACCGGCUAACUCUGUGCCAGCCGCCGCGGUAAAAC